GGAAGAGAAGGAGGAGGAGGAGGAGGAGGAGAAAGUGGCUCUCAGCGGCCGGUCGGAUUAAAAGUAACCAGACUCGUCCAGAAAACUGCGUCCAGGAAGGAAGUGACAGAAGACGAAUGGGAAAAGGAGAACAGCUCACAGCGUUUGAAACAUCGCGGCACCACUUUCAGAUAAAAACAUAGACCUGAAUGGCAUCAUCCAGUAUCCAAGGAAACCAUGCUUGCUUGAAGAGUGAGCAGGUGAGCAAAGAGACAAGAUUACAUGUUUAAACCAAGAAAAGAAUCUUGAAAAAGCAUUGAAAAGAACAACUUUCAAGUCAAAAGAAUCAAGGUGAAGAGAAUGGAUACUCAUGCCCAUGUGAAUUUGCUGCCCCAAGUCUACUGGAGGAUCAAGCUGCAGGUUUCAAUAGCUAUAGCCUGAAGAAUCUCUGUAAUGAACUAAAACAAUCAGUAAAAGAUCAGUUGCAGUGGAAGACAUUAUACUCUAGAUUUUUCUAGUAUUAUUAAAUUUGAAAAUGAUUUAUUCCAAAUUUUAACUUAGCUUUUAAUUUUACUAGUGUCAAAAUGUUGUACUACUUUGGACAACUGAUUUUUCCAAUAGAGAGUCAAUAGCAUCUUUGCAGGGUGGUUUAAAAGCCAAUAAUUUAAUCCAUAUUCUACUAAAACUUUUAAUAUAAGCAUUUUACCCAGAUGUAUUUUUUCCUUGUUUUAGAAAAUCUGAUUUUAAUUGCUAAAACUCGUUUUUAAAUAUUAAUUCAAUGAAAGAAAUGCUAUGGUUUUCUACUUUUUCAUUUCUUAAACUCAAGGGAAAACAUGGGUGAAAAACAAAAAAUUGUUCUGCAUAGAGUCUUCUUUAAUGUCUCACUUUGGUGAUGUAUGAAAUAAAAACCAAAUUGUUUUAACCAGCUAAAAAAAAAAAAAAAAAA
rnacentral:lncRNA from 1 species